rnacentral:rRNA from 1 species
GACGAACCGAGCGAACGUUGUUCGGAAUCACUGGGCUUAAAGGGCGCGUAGGCGGGCUGUCAAGUCUGGGGUGAGAUCCCGCGGCUCAACCGUGGAACUGCCUCAGAUACUGACGGUCUCGAGGGAGGUAGGGGCGAGCGGAACUGAUGGUGGAGCGGUGAAAUGCGUUGAUAUCAUCAGGAACUCCGGUGGCGAAGGCGGCUCGCUGGACCUUUUCUGACGCUGAGGCGCGAAAGCUAGGGGAGCAAACGGG